GCAGUCAUGGCCUAAUGGUUAGAGAGUCAGAUUGUAAUCUGAAGGUGAACCUGAAGGCCGUGAGUUCGAGUCUCAGGUCCAGCG